AGCACAUCUCGUCGUGUUUUUUGACUACACAGAGAAUCCUCUAAAAAAUUUCAUGAAUCCUCAUUAUUCAAUUAAACAUUGUGAAUUCAUAAGGAUCAUUGGUGGUAAUAAAUAAAUAAAUGGACGAAUAAGAUAAUUGUUGCCAUGGAACUUCUUGAAGAAUCAGAAGCAAACGGUUUUAAUUUGUUUUCUAGGCUUGGAAGAAACGUCAGGCGCACUGAGCAAUUGCCUAGCAGCGAUCAUCCCGAGAAAAUGUCAAUCAGAAAAUUCCAGAACGAAAGAAUUAACACAGCACCUCCAGAGCACCACAGCCUGACUCAAUUACUCGGCUGAUUUUUCCGCAGAGAAUAAAGUAUCCAGGGACAAUGGAGACCCUGUAAUAUCUCCACUGAAGGCUUCACUACAUCAAUACUCCACGCAGGUGCCUCCAGGUCACCAGAAGCCUUAGAACCCCUCGAAUUACGUGAAUAAUAGAAAAUAUUACGAGGAAUGCACUUGAACGUUGGAGAUACACUGAGCAAACCGGUGGUUCUGGUUGUAAAUAUAAAAACACCGUGCACUUGUGGACCUCCUGAUAAGAUGGAGGGGAUAUACCCAGCAACAGCUGGAGGAAGUCACUGAUCAGCUGUUUAGUGUGUGUAAACACCUUUUCAAUACGUGAGAUACACUGAGAGGAGGAAGUUCCUUUCACAGGAGGCUUCACUCAAAAAUAAAAAUCGUUAUUCGCUCUGAUGCAUUCUUGGGGAUUUCAUGCAGAAGAUUAUUACUUCAGUCUACAGCAUCAAUGUGCAAAUGAUCCAACUUUUUAUGAAAUAUAACGUCAGUGCCAACUUUGUAAUCAAUCCAUCAAAUCAAACGUCAUUUGAGUUGAUGUUAAUGAAAAAAUUCAUAAUCUGAAGAAAACAGAUCGUUCAUCUAUUGCAAAAUUGGCCGAUUGGAAAUAAAAAAUAAUAACACCAGAAACCAUUCAUUAUAAGAUGUACAUGGAGAGAUAAAUGAUUCAAUAAGAAUCACCAGCAAAAAAAUAGAAAUUACGUUUCGGAAUGUAAUCAAUGAGCGAGGGAAGAUUCAAUAAAGAGUGUGAGACGGAACUGGAAUCGCACGAAUCGUCACGUAAAUUCUACGAUUCGUUUCGUCAAAAUUGACCAGUCGUCUGAUGACUCAUCAUUGUGGAAACAACAAGUCAUUCUGUCAUUUUUCCACAAUGAUAUUGAUGAAUUUAGCGAAACAACAGGUGGAAAUAAUUCACCAGGAAAUUUCAUUAAAGUAUUCGUGAAUUGUAUUAAAUUAUUUGUGCAAAGAUUCAAUUCAUAAUUUAGAUCUGGAUAAAAUGUAAAAGGAGAAGUUCAAUUAAAAAAAGUUCAAAUAAAA